ACUGCAUAGGGUACCUGUUUACAGAUUUUGAUAUAGGAAAAAAAAUGCGGCAGUGACUUGAUUACAAGAGCUAUGUUGUAUCUUUAAAAUCUAAAAAAAAUAACAAUGCAAAGUACUUGUUGUGAAUACAAUAUUUUCAAAAUGGACAUGAUGUGAAUAUAACAUUUUCAUUCAAAGUACCAGAUUUUCAAGUCUUACACUUUGCUUCUUUAUUAAGCUAUCAAUAGAAAAAAUGGUUGUCGU
rnacentral:lncRNA from 1 species